rnacentral:rRNA from 1 species
GAUGAACGCUAGCGGCAGGCUUAAUACAUGCAAGUCGUGGGGCAGCAGGACGGUAGCAAUACCGUUGCUGGCGACCGGCAAACGGGUGCGGAACACGUACACAACCUUCCUUUAAGUGGGGAAUAGCCCAGAGAAAUUUGGAUUAAUACCCCGUAACAUGGUGAAAAGGCAUCUUUUUAUCAUUAUAGCAGCAAUGCGCUUAAUGAUGGGUGUGCGGCUGCUUAGGUAGUUGGCGGGGUAACGGCCCACCAAGCCUUCGAUCAGUAACUGGUGUGAGAGAACGACCAGUCACACGGGCACAGGGACACGGGCCCGACUCCUACGGGAGGCAGCAGUAAGGAAUAUUGGGCAAUGGAGGCAACUCUGACCCAGCCAUGCCGCGUGGAGGAUGAAGGUCCUCUGGAUUGUAAACUUCUUUUAUAUGGGACGAAAAAAGGGUUUUCUAACUCGACUGACGGUACCAUAUGAAUAAGCACCGACUAACUCCGUGCCAGCAGCCGCGGUAACAC